AGAAUGUAAGGCACAGGCCGCAGGAGAAGUGCAUGGAGAAGGGAGAGAAAUUGUACCUGGCCUCCUGAAAGACGCAGCCUCUGAAAUGAAUAUUGAAGACUGGGGAGGAUUUAAACAGGUAGAGACGGAUGGAAUGGACACAGGGCUCGGGAGCAGCGCCAGCCCGACAUCGGCGGAGGAGCACCGGAAGUUCUGCAGCACUGGCUUUCUUUGCUCUUCCACCUAUGCAAGCUCCUUCUCUCUUGUGGCUUGCCGAGCCUGGUUAGCUCUGAGACCGGAAGUUCUGAAGUCAGCUGGCAUCCUACAUCUGUGCAACCUACUUCUCUCCCCAUCCCACCACAGAAACCAGAGCCUCGAGGCUUUUGGCUUGGGUGCUGCCUUCACAGUUUAGGUUUUGGUAAGAAGAAAGCUUAUCUUCAUGUCAUGAGAAAGAAAAAAAAAUGUAUCUUUACGUAACGAGCUGAAAGAACAAAACAAGUAUACCUAAGCCAAGUACAUGCUAUCUUUAUUUCUUUAUUUCCACACUGAAAUUUAGUCAGGGAUAAAACUUACUUUUUUAAUCACACGAAGUUUGAAAAAUAGGAAGUACUAUGGGAAACACCUAAUGCAUCAAAACCCCUGUGCAUUUUAUCUUUGUCUUAUGUUUGCUGGAUUUUAAUCUUAGUAGGUUUCCUGUUGCAACAAUACAAAAACAGAUAAAGAAAAAACUUAAUAACCUUUCCUACCACAAAUGUGAACAGCCCGUGUUCUUGUUGGUAGGUACAGAUACAGAUAUAUGAGAUUAUCGUUAUUUAUUAUCAGAAAAUGGGAUUUUACUAUUUCCCACACACACACUUUUUUUGAGAUGGGGGUCUUGCUAUAUUGUCCAGGGUGGUCUCAAAUUCUUGGGUUCAAGCGAUCCUCCCACCCAAGUAUCUGUAAUCCAAGUAGUCUGGAUUACAGAUGCAUACCACCAUGCCUGGCUUAUUUCCCUCUCUUACAAUUUGCAAAAAUAAUGAUGUACUGAGGACAUCCCCCAGGUCGAUAGCUACAGGAUUAAAUCAUUUCUCUUAAUAACUAUAUAUAAUACUAUUCCAUUGUAUGGAUAUGCCAUAACAUAUUCAAUUAUUCCCCUUCGAAUGGGCAUUUGGGUUGUUUCUAGUUUGUACCACAACAAACAAGCCUCUAUCAGUGCUUAUCCACAUUGCACAGAGAAGUGCUACCAGAGCCAAAAGCAUUUUCUGAGUACCUACAAUAUGCUAUUUUUAUGAAAUAUACAAAAGAAAUGUGUGACAUAGUCCUUUCCUAAAAGACUGCCAAAUAUAGUUGGGGAAAUAAGCCUAACCCACACAAAACACUUAAACUGUGUAAGACAGUACUGAACCAUGUUCUACAGACCUCAUGCAAAUGGAUGCCAAGUUGUCCUUCUGCACAAUGACAGAUUGGAGAGGUAAUCUGGAGGUGCCUUUAGCCAUAAUAUUCUAGGAGCCUUCUUGAUUCAGAAAAGGGGAAGCAUGAAAGGCUAAGAAGCCAGAGUGGUGUCUCUGGAGGAGGCAGGACUUGAACAAGGCCUGAACAUGGUUUAGAUGGAGGAAGGAAAAAAAUGUAUUUUGGAAUGACAAAUGAGGCAGGGCACAGCACUGACUUUAGACAUGUAUAUGCUCAGGAGAAUGUCCUGAGUUACAGCAUUUCUAAACACCCUCUUCUCAUACUCCUCCCACCACCACCACUCGCCAGACUCUGCUUAAAGAUAUAAAAAAUUCCCAAGCUUGGCUGCUGCAGAACAUCACACUAACACUAAUUUAAAAUGCACUACUUCCAGACAGCACGAGCUUGAAAUUACCUCCAAAUCUCUUCCUUCCCUGUCCUUCUCAUGCCCUAUGCUACCCCCUGCCAAAACACAUACAACGCUUGCUGUGCCCUUCAAACAACAGUAGUCAUUUAAGCUGCUCCUGCCCAUCUGGAAAAUAAUAUGAAUAACAUGAAAGAAAGCAAUAAUGAAGUGACUGGAAUUUAGCAACCAAAAAGACCUCAGUUCUUUUGAUAAUCAAAAACUUUGUUAAAAUGUUUACAUCGACAGUCACUACAGUGUUGGUCUUUCACUCUAUGUUGCAAUAGUAUGUUUGCAACUUCUCCAAAUCCAUUUAAAUGAAAAUAUUUAAUAACAAGUUUUAAAUUUUAUCAAUUGUUAAAUAUGAUUUGAAAGUUUAGUGUAUGUCCUGAUAUAUAGUAUGCCUUGAGACUGAAUAUAAGUAGCUCUAUGGGAAAAUUCUGAAAAUGAAUUAGGAAUAAGUAGAUUAAUGUGCUUUUAGUCUCAAAGACUAGAGAUUAAAAAGGCAUGGGUAAUUUUUAACUGAGAGGUGGUGCCACAGAGAAGUCUAUGAUUCUCUCUUUUUCAUUACCCAUCCCAGUUUAAAAUUAGCUUGCAGCAUGUUUUUUAAACAUUAGGAAAACAAGAUGCACUCCCAGAAUGUUCAUGUGAAGGGCACGUGUGAAGACAUAAUCUUGACAGUCAUAUUACAGAAAAUAAGGGAGUGAGUUACUGAGUUUUUAACAAGGAGAGUAAGUUACUGAGUUUAAAUAAAACCUAAUUUGCUGUGUGUUUUUAUUUAGCAGAAUUUUGAAUGCCCGUUGCCUCCGUGGCACUAGGCAACCACAAAGGCAACUGAGGUCUGAGACAAGGCAUCAGGGAGAUAGGAUCCUUUGGCCUCCUCUGGCCCAACUGACAUAACUGAGGUUGGUUCCUUUCCUGGUAUCCACACUCCCCUCUCCUCACCAACAAUCCCCCUGACGUUGGCUCUGAAUGAUGUGGAGACCCUGUUAGUGUCGUCGCAUGUUAAAUCUAGAUUUGGGAAUCUGCACUGCACACCUUAUGUCAAAACUCAGAGCUGUUGUUUUUAUAUUUUGUUUUUGUGUUUUGUGUUUUUAUUUCAGAUGCAGGGGAUACAUGUGCAGGUUUGUUACACAGGUAUACUGUGUGAUGCUAAGGUUUGGGCUUCUAAUGAUCCCAUCGCCCAAGUAGUGAACAUAGUGCCCCAUAGGUAGUUUUUAAUCUCUUGCCCUCCUCCCAUCCUGCCCCCUUUUGGGAUUCACAGUGUUUACUAUUCCCAUCUUUGUGUCCUUGUGUACCCAAUGCUCAGCUCCCACUUGUAAGAACAUUCAUAGCCACUGUUACCUCAUCACCAUGUAACAUUCCAAGGGUUUAAAAUGCACAAUACAAUCAUAGUUCUUUUGAGAUCAUGGUUGACUGUCCUGACAAAGGAGAACUUUUAGCUGCCCCUCCUCCACCCAGGGAUAGAAGUGGACUUGGUGAAAGGCAGGUGGCCUGUGACAGCAGUGGCCUGCCCAGGCACGCAGAGGCUUGCUCUCACUUUUAGAGUACUUGGUACAUUUGGCACUGUGCAGCAACUUUUUGCUUCUUGAAUUGUGACCAAUCAAAAAUGAUGAAACAAGGCCAUUGAAGGGAGUGGAAAGAAAUUAACUGAUGCGCCAGGAGUCCUGGUCUACCCUUGAUCAGUAGGUGUUACAUAACGGAGGGCAAGUCACAGAGCAGGCAGAAACCUCUGUUUUCUUACCAGAAAAGAUAGGUCCAAAAUGAUCGACUCCUCCAAGAACAAUAAGGGAAAAGAUGAGAUUUCAGAUGGAAAAAAAAAAAACCCAAUAAGGGGUGGUCUAGGUGACUAUAAUCUCACUCUGCCAGAAGAGCUAGACGACCAAGCUUGAUGCACACAGCAGGGGAAGUAGCAGGACCAAGCUGCUCAGAACUGGUCAGAGUAGUGGACAAUUUCGUGCAGAUCUUACAGGCCUCUUUUUUGUUUUUUGUUUGUUUUAAGAUAGGGUCUUGCUCUGUCCCCCAGGCUGGAGUGCAGUGGCAUAACCACAGUUCACUGCAAGCUCGACCUCCCUGGGGUCAGGUGAGCCUCCCCCAUCAGCCUCCCAAAUAGCUGGGACUACAGGUGUGCACCACCACACCCAGCUAAUUUUUCUAAAAAAUUUUUGUAGAGAGGGGGUCUCGUCAUGUUGGACAGGCUGGUCUUGAACUCCUGGGCUCAAGUGAUCCACCCGCCUUAGCCUCCUAAAGUGCUGGGAUUACAGGUGUGAGCCACCACGCCUGGCCUUUUUUUUUUUUAAGACCUAAAUGGAUGCAGAAGAAAUUUGGCUGAUGUUUUUUGGCUGGAUUGCAUAUCAAAAUCCCCUGGGAAACUAGGUCCCACCCCAAUAAGCCUGAGGUAGUGUUAGGGAUGCAAAUCCUAGCACAAGCGCUUGCAAAGGCUCUCCAGGUGACUCAUACAGCUUCAACAUACAUGCAGCACUGAAUCUGAUUCUUCAUCUCAAUACCUUCGAAAUCCUACUCCUUUGACCCCACAGUCCCUCUUCAGGGAGGCUGUCCUAUAGAAAUAAUGAGAUAUACAGACAAUUUUUGUAUAAAGAUGUUCAUAACAACACUAUUUAUGACAGGAAAAAUUAAAAGGGAACCAAUGUCAAAGCUAGGGAAAUUAUUGAGCAAGUUAUAAUAUAUAAACCAAAAAAGAUAUACAAAUGGCCAAAAAGCACAUGAAAAGAUGCUUAACAUCAGUCUUUAGAGAAUAUAAAUCUCUAAGAACUACUUCACCAUUUCUGGUGUGUGUGAGAUACCAUUUCACACACACUAGAUGGCUAAAACAAAACAAACAAACGAAACCCAGAAAACAGUGUUGGGAAGAAUGUGAAGAAAUUGGAACAUUGCUGAUUGGAAUGUAUAAUAGUGCAGCUGCUGUGGAAUUUUAUUUAGCUAUUUAGCUUGGUAGUUCCUCAAUAAGUUAAACAUGGAAUUACCAUAUAAUUCAGAAAUUCCACUGCUAUGUGUAUAUCCCAAAGAACUGAAAAUAGGUGUUGAAGCAAAAACGUGUACCUAAAUGUCCACAGCAGUACUAUUCACAACAGUCAAAAGGUAGAAACAACCCAAGUGUCCACCAACCGGCAUCAACUGAUGAAUGGAUAAACCAAAUGUGGUACAGCCGUAGAGUAAAAUAUUACUCAGCCAUGAAAAGGAACAGCGUAUAAUGAUAGAUGCUACAACAUGGAUGAACCUUGGAAACAUUAUGCUAAGUGCAAGAAGCCAGACACAAAAGGCCACAGGCUGUAUGAUUCCAUUUAUAUGAAAUAGCCACACAUAGAAACAGAAAGCUGAUUAGCAGUUACCAGGGAUCGGGAGGGAACGGGAAGUGACUGCUUCAUGGAUACAGAGUUUCAUUUGGGGUGGUGAAAAUGUUCUGGAAUUAGUAAUAAUGGCUGCACAACACUGUGAAUGUACCUUUUAAAAUGGUUAAAAUGGUAAAUAUCAUGUUAGGUGUAUUUUGCCACAAUAAAAAAAAUUAUGAUACAUAAAACAGAAUAUUUUACUUAUUAAAAUUGGCCUUUUGAGGGAGUUUAAUGAGAUGAGGAAAAUGUGGAAAAAAAGCAGUCUAUGAAACUAUAUACAGUUUGAUCUCAGCUUCAUAGCAUAUAAAUAUGCACAGAAAAACAAGGACUAGAAGAAAAUUUAUAAAAAUGCUAAACAGGGUUAUUGGCAGAUACACUUUCUUUUUUUGUAAUUUCCAAAUUUUCUAUAAUAUUAUGUUUAUUAUUAUUGUUAACUAUCAUUUUUGUAAACAUAAAAAGAAAAAUUUUCUUUAAAGAUGGGACCACUGACACUUUGCAUCACAGCUAGGAAAAGAAAAUGAGAAUAACGAAGGGUCUGGAAACAUGUGACAUAAUGAUUCAGGUAGGGGGCUAGACAAGAGCAUAGAGUGGUGAAGGCUGCAACAAUCUGGAGAAUUUAUGUCCUGUCCAAAGAUAAAAUUGUGGCUCCAGAUCUUUUGAGUUUUCAAGAGAUGCCAGAGCUCCAGACGUUUCAGUGAAAUGCCCUGAUUUUUAAAUGUUGGCAACUUAUUCAAUAUUUUUCAAACACCACAGGCCAAACAAAACACAUCUGUGGACCGGAUGUAGCCCGCAGGCUCCAGUUAGCAAAUUCUAGUUUAUAAGAACAGGAAUGUUUAGGCUGGAAAAGAAAAACCUUUGAAGGGAUAUAGUACUAGUAACAUCAAGUAUCUGAAAAAUGACUAUGUGGAAGAUGGUGUAGGUUAAUUCAUGUGUCUCUAGAAGGCAGAACCCGAUCUAAAGGCUGGGUGUUAUCAGAGAAGCAGAAUGGGGCACAGUCUAUAAGGGAGAGGUCUCUAUUAGAGCAGCUGUCCAGCAAGAAACAGCUUCAAAAUGCAGCGAGCUGCCCAUCCCUGAUGUGCUCCAGCAAAGGCUACAUAACCAGGAUUCCUGCUUUGGGUCAGAAGUUGGACUAGGUCAAAAGCUCCCAAUUGUGGCUGCACAUUAGAAACUUGAAACAAAGCAUACAGACUCCUGGACCCUGUCCCAGAACCACAGAGUAAGGUCCAGGAGUGUGUAUUUUUAAAAAGCAUCCCCUUUGGGUAUAUACCCAGUAAUAGUAUUGCUGGGUCAAAUGUUAUUUCUGGUUCUAGAUGAUUUAGAACCACUUAAUCUUUGACUGUAACACUGGAAUUCUAGUAUUCUGAUCCAUGGUUUUACCCACCUGGCCAGUAAGGAAGGGAAGGAGGGAUUGAGGAAAGGAAGAACAAUGUACCAGAGCUCAUUAUGGAGCAGGCCCUGUGCUGCUUUCCUUAUGUCAUCUCACUGUAUUUUUCAGAACAACCUGGUGAGUUGCGAAGUGAUGUCCUCCACCCCAUUUCCCUGAGAAAGAAACUGGGGCUUGGGGAGUUUGGGGAUGGCCCAAGGUGACUGCCAGUCACUGGGAAGAUCUUUCCAGCUCCAGAUCCCAUGCUAGUUCAACUAUGCCAUAUUGCCCUCUUCUUGCCCACUCAACAAUCAUUUCUCCAAGUGCCGAUGGUGGGCCAGGCAAUGCAUUAGGUGGCAAGGAUUCUGCAAUGAUCAAGAUACAGUCCCAGGCUCAAGAAGCUUCGAAUCUAGAGAGGAGGAAGAAAAGUAAACAGUGACAUCACGGUGGAAGCAACAGGGUCAUAUGGGAGGGACACCCAACCCAGCCUUGUGUCAUCAGGGAAGGCUUCAGAGAGGAGGUGACAGCUAAGCUGGGGAAAAGAGAUUCCUAGGUGAAGGUGUAACAUCUACAGAGACCCAAAGAUCAGAGGGAGCCUAAGCCUACCAGGUGUGGGGAAAUGUGACUAGUUCAGAGGCUGGAGUGUGGGAUGCAAGGAGUGAAAUUGUAAGGUGGGGCUGGCCACGCUGAGACUUUGUCACUAACCUCAGAGAAACAGGAAGCAAGUAAGACUGAACAGAAGGGGGUGACAUAUGCAGAUGCACAUUUUAGUAGCUCAGACUGGCUGCGGAGAGGAGAAUGGAUUGGCGGAGAGAACACAAGGGAGGCUGUGGCAGUCAUUCAGCUAAGAGGGGAUGACAAGCCACACAAAAGUGGUGGCACGACAGAAGAUGUGCAGCAUAGAGAUGAUGUUUUUUCACUCAUUCUUUCAGUAAAUAAUAUUACAGAGCCCUUCUUAUGUGCUGGCCAUUCUGCCUAGGCUGGACAUACAAGCAUGGGUGAAAACAAACAUAGUCUCUGCUGCCGUGAAGUUCACACUGUUAGCGCUCUGCUAGGGAAAAGAUGUUUAGGGAAGUAAUUUCAAAAGUAUUAAAUAAGGCAAGGCGUAGUGGCUCGUGCCUGUAAUCCCAGCACUUUGGGAGGUAGAGG
rnacentral:lncRNA from 1 species